AACACAUGCAAGUCGAGCGGUAACAGAAAUUAGCUUGCUAAUUUGCUGACGAGCGGCGGACGGGUGAGUAAUGCCUGGGAAUAUGCCUUGAUGUGGGGGAUAACUAUUGGAAACGAUAGCUAAUACCGCAUAAUGUUUUUGUUUAUUACGAACAGGAACCAAAGAGGGGGACCUUCGGGCCUCUCGCGCUAAGAUUAGCCCAGGUGAGAUUAGCUAGUUGGUGAGGUAAGAGCUCACCAAGGCGACGAUCUCUAGCUGGUCUGGGAGGAUGAUCAGCCACACUGGAACUGAGACACGGUCCAGACUCCUACGGGAGGCAGCAGUGGGGAAUAUUGCACAAUGGGCGAAAGCCUGAUGCAGCCAUGCCGCGUGUAUGAAGAAGGCCUUCGGGUUGUAAAGUACUUUCAGUAGGGAGGAAGGCGUUGUCGUUAAUAGCGGCUUCGUUUGACGUUACCUACAGAAGAAGCACCGGCUAACUCCGUGCCAGCAGCCGCGGUAAUACGGAGGGUGCGAGCGUUAAUCGGAAUUACUGGGCGUAAAGCGCAUGCAGGUGGUUCAUUAAGUCAGAUGUGAAAGCCCGGGGCUCAACCUCGGAACCGCAUUUGAAACUGGUGAACUAGAGUGCUGUAGAGGGGGGGUAGAAUUUCAGGUGUAGCGGUGGAAUGCGUAGAGAUCUGAAGGAAUACCAGUGGCGAAAGGCGGCCCCCUGGACAGACACUGACACUCAGAUGCGAAAGCGUGGGGAGCAAACAGGAUUAGAUACCCUGGUAGUCCACGCCGUAA
rnacentral:rRNA from 1 species